rnacentral:rRNA from 1 species
CCUACGGGCGGCAGCAGUAGGGAAUAUUGCUCAAUGGGGGAAACCCUGAAGCAGCAACGCCGCGUGGAGGAUGAAGGUUUUCGGAUUGUAAACUCCUUUUGUUAGAGAAGAUAAUGACGGUAUCUAACGAAUAAGCACCGGCUAACUCCGUGCCAGCAGCCGCGGUAAUACGGAGGGUGCAAGCGUUACUCGGAAUCACUGGGCGUAAAGAGCGCGUAGGCGGGAUAGCAAGUCAGAUGUGAAAUCCUAUGGCUUAACCAUAGAACUGCAUUUGAAACUGUUAUUCUAGAGUAUGGGAGAGGGAGGGGGAAAUUCUGGGUGUGGGGGAAAA